GCAAGAGAAAACUCAAAACGACGUCGUCGGAGAAACACCUGUGCCGUUUUCAGCCCAAUUAAAACCCUACCCCCGAGACCUGUCAGCAUGUUGGGAAAAUUGGUGCUCCUGUCUCUGGUGGUGAGCUGCCAGGCCUAUUCCUCGGGCGCCCCUAUGGCGGCUUGCAUUAAUGGCAUCCCGGGACACGGCCCGGCCCCCCAGCCGUUUAGCCACCAGUCGUUUACUGUGUACUUGCAACAAGAUGGGCCGGGAAGGAUAGCAAUUACGAUCAGCGCCCUAAGCAGCCAUCGCCUUUCCUUGGGUUAAUGAUCAAGUCUUCCUCAGCUGGCACUUUCGAGGAGUCCAAUGAUACGCAUGUUGUUCACUGCUUCGACGGCUUAGACCCGAUCACCCAUAGUGCCACCCACGGUGGUUGGGUGACAGUCACUGUGCCUUUUGUGACAUCAGAAACUGGAACUAUAACAUUCAGUGUCACCGUUGUUGAGAAAUACGACGUUUUCUGGCUACCCUCCACCUGGUCUAUAAAUCUGUAACAGUGUAAGGUUCCAUGACUUUCCAACCAGAUCUUGUGAGACUUUCCGAGAACUGCGUUGCUAAGCGUGGCCGGUCUUGCCGACACAAAGAUGGCGGCCUUUUAAUUGCCAGCGCUUGAGGUAGCAGAACACAGUAUUUAUGAUUUUAUCCGCGAACCCCGGGGUCUAUAUGUGACACGGGUACAUAAAGUAGUAAGGAAAAACUUGCUGAAGGAGAGGUUAAAAAUCAUAUUUUAGUGGCAGCCAGGUAUAACCUGUGCUGGAUAGUCACGGAAGAUGUCGACUGUUUUCUAUUUCGUGUAUAAAUGCGCCCCAUUACUCAACUUCCCUACUAGUGUGAGCCGACUGCAGUUAUGUGACCUCCGCAGGGCGGCUUUCAAAGUGGGCGUGAGAAGACGAUGCGCCGUCAGGAUUUUGUUGUUUUUCAAUAUUUUGUGGCUUGUACCCUGAACUCGAACAUAUCUGUAUGUGGUAUUCCAAAAGUGCACCCUGCUAUAUUUUUUCCGCGUCGAAGCCAGUCACCUUCUGGACCUUAACUAUAGAAAUCCCCAUAGGCCAUGUGUUCUGCUACCUUGAAAAUGAAAAGAAAACGCUAAAUAAAGA